rnacentral:ncRNA from 1 species
UCAAUCAGCGAGGGGUGCCGAUGCAGUCAUGGACCAGUUCCAUGCGCUGACCGGCUGAGAUAAAACCCUUAGAACCUGAUCCGGUUCGCACCGGCGGAGGGACUGCUGCAACUUGUUGUU